rnacentral:rRNA from 1 species
UGAGGUGGCGACCGGCGCACGGGUGAGUAACACGUAUGCAACCUGGCUGUAAGAGGGGAAUAACCCGGAGAAAUCCGGACUAAUACCGCAUAAUACUUAGAAUCCGCAUGGAUUUUAAGUUAAACAUUUAUGGCUUACAGAUGGGCAUGCGUAUGAUUAGCUAGUUGGAGAGGUAACGGCUCCCCAAGGCAACGAUCAUUAGGGGUUCUGAGAGGAAGGUCCCCCACACUGGUACUGAGACACGGACCAGACUCCUACGGGAGGCAGCAGUGAGGAAUAUUGGUCAAUGGACGCAAGUCUGAACCAGCCAAGUCGCGUGAAGGAAGAAUGUCCUAUGGAUUGUAAACUUCUUUUGAAGGGGAAUAAAGUACGGUACGUGUACCGUUUUGUAUGUACCCUUCGAAUAAGGAUCGGCUAACUCCGUGCCAGCAGCCGCGGUAAUACGGAGGAUCCAAGCGUUAUCCGGAUUUAUUGGGUUUAAAGGGUGCGCAGGCGGGAUAAUAAGUCAGUGGUGAAAGUUUGCAGCUUAACUGUAAAAUUGCCGUUGAAACUGUUAUUCUUGAGUGCAGACAAGGUAGGCGGAAUGUAUUGUGUAGCGGUGAAAUGCUUAGAUAUAAUACAGAACCCCGAUUGCGAAGGCAGCUUACCGGACUGUAACUGACGCUCAGGCACGAAAGCGUGGGGAUCAAACAGGAUUAGAUACCCUGGUAGUCCACGCAGUAAACGAUGAAUACUAGCUGUUCGCGAUAUACAGCGAGUGGCACAGCGAAAGCGUUAAGUAUUCCACCUGGGGAGUACGUUCGCAAGAAUGAAACUCAAAGGAAUUGACGGGGGCCCGCACAAGCGGAGGAACAUGUGGUUUAAUUCGAUGAUACGCGAGGAACCUUACCCGGGCUUGAAAUGCAAUCGACGGUAGUGGAAACAUUACUUCCAGCAAUGGCGAUUGUGUAGGUGCUGCAUGGUUGUCGUCAGCUCGUGCCGUGAGGUGUCGGCUUAAGUG